ensembl:lincRNA Gm14266 predicted gene 14266
GUCAUAAGGCAGGCUGAACACAACAUAGCCUUGAUUGAACCUGGACUCAUGGUUGACCCUCAUUUCAUGGAUAGAACCACUCUCUAUGAGAGAAGCGGAGAUACGCCAAGGAGAUUAUAGAUGGAAGGAACCCGAGAGGCCACUUCCUGAGAGGACAUAGUGAUCACUCUGCAGUCAAGAGCCAGACUAAAGUGAGAUUGGCAAAUGGACUUGGGAUGAAGAAGAACAGCAGCAGCAGCAGCAGCAGCAGCAGCAGCAGCAGCAGCAGCAGCAGCAGCAGCAGAUGUUAUCCUAAUGGAAAACUGGAGGCUCCUCAGCCCUGGGCCGUCCCUCCUGUGCUGGCGUGUGUGCCUCUCCGCUCAUGGUCUGCCUUGCUGACACCGCUUUGGCACCUGGAGUCAUCUAGCUCUGCCAAUCAGACUCAGCCCUAAGGAAACUGAUUUGGAACAUUAAUUCUGUGAGGAAAGAGCCAGGACACUCAACUGUCCCCUUGGCAUCCCUGCAGGACUGUGGAGCCAAUCCCUGAAACUGGUCUCUUUCUCAGUCUGCUUCUUCUUCACCCAGCACGGUGUGAACGAGCCAUGCUGCAAGCUCCCUUAGCUAUGGAUCGAGCCACUCCAACUGCCAUGACCUCACCAUACAAUUGUGUCCCCUGCACUUCGGUAAUGUACGUGGUUAUCACUUGGUUAUACUGCCUUGUGACAGAGGCAUCGUUCAUCAUUUAAAAG